UGGGUCCAGGUCGGUGUGGGUAGUUGAGCUGCUCCUUUCUGCUGGUGGCCCACGCUGCAGUACUGCCGCAGUGAAGUUUUUCUUCUGAAGUAAUGGAAAGGAGAAUAAUUAGAGCUGUGAAUGUGACUCU
rnacentral:pre_miRNA from 1 species